rnacentral:tRNA from 1 species
AGUAAAGUGGCAGAAAAAUGCGGUAAGUUUAAGCCUUAUUUAUGAAAAAAUUUGUUUCCUUUAUUA